GUCACUGACUUAACUGCCUGAGUAGCAUCUGGCUUAGAACUAGUGGUUCUGUCCUCUAGCCCUACUUCCCUAUGCUCCUUAAAAGACCCUUUUACCAGAAAUCUAAAAUUACCAGUCCCAUCAAGACAAGUAUAAAGAUAGCCUACUGCAGAAAGGCAUCCAGAAAGAGGAAGAAGGCCCUGAGUAGAAGGAACAAGGUACCACAAAGGGUGAAUGAACCUCUUAGGAAAAGGAAGCAUAAUGCUGACACUUAGAUGAGACCCAAAGAAGGAGGAUUUAACCUCCCAGGGGCUGGAGGAAUAUGAGGGUAGAUAGAACCCUGCCGGCCAGCUCUACCUACCUCUUCCUUUGUGUGACUUUUUUGAAGGUAUAAUAGCACCACUCUGACUUGGGUCUUAACUCAAGCACAUCCUAAGCUGUAUGAUCUUAAGCAGGUUAAUCAUUCCACCUGUUUCAAUUAUGAAAUCAGGACCCUGAUUACCUCGAUGCUGCAACUGAGAUAAAUGAAAUGAUGAUUCCACAAUCUGUAGUGCAGGGCCUGACAAACUGCAGUCUGCAGGCCAAAUCCAGCAAAGUUAACAAGCCAGAGCUAUUCACUUACUAUGGCUGCUUUCACCUGCAAAGAAUAAAACAUCUGCUAUCUGGCCCUAUAACUCUGUAGGGGCUCUCUCAAGUGGCCCUAUCACCUCGCAUAACUCACAAAAGCUGCUGUAAGUUAUAACUUGGGUCAUGGUUACUUACCUCAUACAAGACUUUCAUCAAUAAAUAUUGAACGCCCUAGACAGAAGAUUCAAAUAUUUCACAUCCUGAAGUUCUCCACAAUUAUCAAUUUCAAAAUUUUCUUCUAAGUUUCAAGUUUGAACAUGUGAUGGAUCUCCUGGCACUGUUAAAUUUAUUCUGGUUUUCUCCUGGACUAUAUGUCUUAGACUAUAUUUACUAUAUGUACAUUUCUUGGAGUACAUGGACAUGUGAACAGGACCUGGCACAUGGGCAUUUAUUCAAUAGUAAAACAUUUCCUAUGUAAAUGUAGCAAAUAUAGUGAGGGUGUCAUGGAGGACAGCACCAGAAUGACACAGGGAAGGCUAUUGACCUCUUUGCCUUUGCCUUCUCCCUGAGAUUAUGCCAGUGUAUGCACAACAUUAUUACAGCCUACUACUGCCAGACACACUUAUAACCCAUUAACUGUAGCCUGUUACUACCAGAGGUGCCUGUAACCCGUUACCACGGCCUACUACCAUAAUACAUGCUUAUAUCCAAUGAUAUAGCUAUAUUACUACAGCCUGCUACCACAAGAGCGACUUGUAUUAUUACUACAUACACUACCUCAGGACACUCUGCUCUUGCGCCCAGGAACACCUGCUAUAACAUCUUUAAGCAAUAAAUUGCCACCUCUCCACACCCCUACACUGAGUAAGGCCAAAUGUGACCACUGAAGAGCAAAAGCAAUCAUCAAAGAAACCCAAGAAGCUCAUCAACAUCUAGGAAAUAGGACAAAACCCUGGGGCCCACCUAAGUCAGAUGAACAAUAAAAAGGCAGUUUCUGCAUCUUUCAUGUUCCAAAGGAAAUAGAGAAUUGAGUUUUGAGGCCCCAACCUUACAGAUUAGCUUUGGUCUUGCUGGUAAAUGGUUUUUAAAGAUUGCAUUUAUGAUUCUCAGGGGGAGGCAAGCUGUGAGUAAGAGAUGAUUUGGUACCUUUACAUAAGUUAUACAAGGUUCAAGUUUAAUUACACAAGGGAUUCUAUAAAGCUGUAAGAAUUAUUUGAUCCCAAAUUGCCCAAACACUACGUUAUAUCUAGAGUAUACUACCAGGAGAAGCUCGAGGAUGUUGUCCUUUAAAGAAUUCCAAAUGCACAUAUGCCUUUGUAAGUGUACGUUGUGUCUUUGCACUUCCUCACAUUUACAAUUCCUGGACUUCAUGAUGGAUGACCUGGGCUUGUUUCUAGGAAAACAAGCAUCUUCAUUUCUGCUAACAAAUGAAUGAGAAGUGUGAGCUGAUGGUGAUCUGGUGGUUCACCUGGCUCAGCCUGCACUGGCCUUGUUUAGACGGUCUAUCAAACCAAAUAAGCCCUUAUCAUAUCCAGAAAGCAUCUCAAUUUAUCCCAAACAAAAGCCCAACCAUGAACAUCAUAGUAAAUCUUUCAAACAGGAAAAAAAGGGUAAACUACAUAUUUCCUCCUGACUCACAUGGUUCUCCCUCUGCUUACAACACCCAUCUGAUUACAUGAAGGGCUAGGGUACUAAGGUCACUCAACGUCACUCUUCAGCUAAACAGUAACACUCAAAAACACCUUUGUCAGAGAAAGAAGAGAAAGUUUAUUUAGAGACACUGGCGUGGAGAGGAAUAAUCAAUGAUGAUUAUGGUGGUCUUGGGCCUGCACCAAAAGCCCUUCUUUGUGCUGGCCCUGGGAGAACACAUGGCACAGAAAAGCCCAGAUUCAAGCAGCUUCUUCAACCAAAACAUUGACAUAUUCUGCUGACUAAAGAGACAAAUAAGAAAAUUAAAGAUGUACACUCCAAGAACCCACGUGUUUUUCAUAUAGGGACCUUCCCAACUCAGUUUCCCAGAGAUUCCAUCAAAUACAGACCUUCAAAGAGUUUGAGAGUACCACCUCAAAGAGAGAUAAUUUCCUUUCUUUUUGCCUCUGUGGGGAAUAUUUCAGAUGACAUGCUGAACACCUAUACCUGCAGGCCUUCACCAUCUUCUUCUGUUCCUCAACUCUGGUCAGCAUGAGGUUUUGGUUGAAACAGCAAGAUCUGCCUGCUCCUACUGUUGUCCCUCUCUCCUACCGCAGGUCCAUUUGUCCAAAGCAGUCCACCCAUCAUUCCCUUUAUAUAGUGGCUUAUGACACGGGCCCUCCUGGUAAAGGGACAUGAUGAUUGAUGGUGCCUUGUCACAAUGGCUGAAAGUCAACAUGAGAGCUUGGUUGAGUGGUUGGGGCAGUACUGAAAUGUUGGAUAAAAUUAAGAAAAUGCCUAGUAGGACUCCUUAAAUCAGCUGGCUGCCUAUCAGCCAGCCCAUAGGAACCCCCAAGAAUUACAGAAACCAAGCAAAAUUCUCUAUGCCUUUCAAACCCAAGUCUAGCUUUUUUUUUUUUUUAAAGAAUAACCAUUUAUUAAAGUAGAUACAGAACACUU
ensembl:lncRNA novel transcript